CUGAAAAAGUUACGUGUACAGUUGAUGAGGAGAUCAGUGUUUAUGAAAACCCAAGCAGGCACCAGGAGAGGUGAGAUGGAUAGAGCUGGAGGUGGUGAGCUGAUGGAGAUGUGCUGAGUGCCAUAGGUGGCUGUGAUUCCAGGAGCUGAACAGCUGGUGCCCCUGCAAGGACAUUCUGGUUCCAGGCAUGUACAGCUUUUCAGCAUUUGUAUCGUGUGCUGCCCAAGGAGUUAAACUGUGAACCAGAAGAUCCAUAUCUCUGCUGUUGGGCUGCUGGGAAGAUGUCUGAGUGGGUGUUUUGGACCAUUUCAAUAGAAGACUACCUAAAGUAUGUUUAGUUGUGGGAAGAUUCCUCUGCCCUGCAGACUUCUGGAGGGAUCACCUUGGCAGCUUUAUCUUGGUACCAAAUAAUUACAGCUUCUGAGAGUAACAUGAACGCUCUUCCCAUUGGAAAAAGAAGAGAACGUGAAUAGACACCAUUGUUUCCAAAGUGGCGAAUCUGAUAAAGGUGACACAAACUGUUAGAACUGGUGGCAUCGAGGAAGGCCUGAUGCUGCCAUUCGACUGGAGUGGAAGAGUUUGCAGGCUGUCUGUUGUGAGGAAAUCCCUGCGGCUGUGGUUCAGCACCUGUAGUGACAAUUCCGGAGUCACCCUCACAUCCAGGAACUGAGUGAUGCAGACUGGGGAAUAAUUCUAAGAGGUUUUGAGGAAGAGAGAAAGUAACACGCAAGGAGCCGGCAGUGAGAGGUCACGGUGUUCCUGGCAAGCAAUCUGAGAGCUGCUCCAGGGUCACUGGAAGCAGUGAGUGGGAGGCGCAGGGGAGCUGCUCUGCAGGUGGAGAGCACAAGUGUGCCUUUCUGGAAGCCAAGAUAUGCAAACCUUAUUUAUGUUCCUUUGUGAUUAUCAGAAAAUUGCAACACCCAGCCAAACCCAACCCAGUGUCUGAGAGCACUUUCCAAACGCUCCCUGAGCGCAGCCAUUGGGGCUGUGCCCACUGCCCUGGGCAGCUGUUCUGUGCCCACCGCCCCCUGGUGCAGACCCUUCCCCCAAUCCCCUCCCCUCACACAGCUCCA
rnacentral:lncRNA from 1 species